UACGGAGGGUGCGAGCGUUAAUCGGAAUAACUGGGCGUAAAGGGCACGCAGGCGGGACGUUAAGUGAGAUGUGAAAGCCCCGGGCUUAACCUGGGAAUUGCAUUUCAUACUGGCGUACUAGAGUACUUUAGGGAGGGGUAGAAUUCCACGUGUAGCGGUGAAAUGCGUAGAGAUGUGGAGGAAUACCGAAGGCGAAGGCAGCCCCUUGGGAAGAUACUGACGCUCAUGUGCGAAAGCGUGGGGAGCAAACAGG
rnacentral:rRNA from 1 species